rnacentral:rRNA from 1 species
GUCUAUGGCCAUGAUACCCUGAACAAGCCCGAUCCCAUCUGAUAUCAGAAGCUAAGCAGGGUCGGGCCUGGUUAGCACUUGGAUGGGAGACCACCUAGGAUGAUCAGGUACUGUAGGCG